GACAGAGGUGCCAAGCGUUAGGCGGAAUCACUGGGCUUAAGGCGUGUGUAGGCGGAGUUCUAAGUACCUUGUGAAAUCCCACGGCUCAACCGUGGAACUGCUCGGUAUACUGGUCCUCUUGAGCCACUUAGGGGCUGUCGGAACAAGCGGUGGAGCGGUGAAAUGCGUAGAUAUCGCUUGGAACGCCAAAGGUGAAAACAGACAGCUGGGAGUGUGCUGACGCUGAGACACGAAAGCCAGGGGAGCGAACGGG
rnacentral:rRNA from 1 species